rnacentral:rRNA from 1 species
ACCCAGACUCCUACGGGAGGCAGCAGUGAGGAAUAUUGGUCAAUGGCCGAGAGGCUGAACCAGCCAAGUCGCGUGAGGGAUGACGGCCCUACGGGUUGUAAACCUCUUUUGCCGGGGAGCAACGGGGUCCUUGCGAGGGCCCGAUGAGAGUACCCGGAGAAAAAGCAUCGGCUAACUCCGUGCCAGCAGCCGCGGUAAUACGGAGGAUGCGAGCGUUAUCCGGAUUUAUUGGGUUUAAAGGGUGCGUAGGCGGGCUUUUAAGUCAGCGGUAAAAAUUCGGGGCUCAACCCCGUCCGGCCGUUGAAACUGGGGGCCUUGAGUGGGCGAGAAGAAGGCGGAAUGCGUGGUGUAGCGGUGAAAUGCAUAGAUAUCACGCAGAACCCCGAUUGCGAAGGCAGCCUUCCGGCGCCCUACUGACGCUGAGGCACGAAAGUGCGGGGAUCGAACAGGAUUAGAUACCCCUGUAUG